rnacentral:lncRNA from 1 species
GAGGGGUUUGGGGGAGAAGAAGAAGGGAAAAAAAAAAAGAUUGGCAACAGGUGCCCAUCUUUAAAAGAAGAAAAGCCACUUACAUGUCCAUCAAUGAGGGACUACCGUAGGUGCUAGGGACACAGAAGCGGUGGCUGCCCCUCAUGGAGUUUCAUUCCGGUGCACGUCUGACCUCGCUGCAGUCUCUGUCUUACUCUAAAGCACAGCUCUGUGACUUGCAUUCUGGAAUCGCUCCACUGCUCCCUCAGAUGGUAUCAUGGAGAGAUCAUAAAAUUAGCAGGAACAGCUAAGAGGAGGACCAGCUAAGCUGUGCACCCACCAAGGAUUCUCCCACAUCUGGCCCAUCAGGGUCACUGUCAAACACCUCUUCUGGAAAAUUCCACUUGAAUGUCCCCUUCUCUUGACAGCACUCAACUGACUGCCCUUGGUCUCUUCUGACUUGCACAUUUCUGGUUGCAUAAGCUGAGCUUGGAGAAAUGCUUCUGGCCCCUUGGAUCUUCGCAGCCUGAAUUGAUACUACUUGCUAGCAUACUGAAUGGACUCUCUCCCUGGCCUUCAGUUUUGCUAACUUCCUUGAUCUUGGUGUUUCCCCGAAGCCCGAGGUCCACAGCUGGUGUGUGUUUAAGCUGACACUGGAAGCCAGGUCUCCUGACUCAUGAUACGUGAUGCCAUUUAAACUUAGAAAUCUGCAGUUCUUGGCUAGAAGGCGAAACUUGGUUGAGGAGGUAGACCUGUUGGCCCUUAAAUGUGAAGAGAAUUAAUACAACAGAACCACAGGAUAACUAAGGUCCAAGAUCACAAUUUCCCCUGUGGAUGGUUCUUAAGAAAUAAAACUCGAAGUGAUUGUUAGAACUCCUGAAAUAACAGAACAAUGGACUAACUUUCCUCCUUCUGAUGGAUUCUAGCAAUCUAUGGAAUGACCUCCAGAGAAGUGGAUGAUGUAGAGCAUGGGAUGUGGAAAAUCUGCUCUCCAAAGUCCAAGCGUAGAUCUUUGCAGGAAACGUAAUCUCAGUUGUAUAUCUUAGUUGCACGUCCUUCUAGCUGUGGGACGCUGCCUCAACGUGGCCUGACGAGCAGUGCCAUGUCCGCGCCCAGGAUCUGAACCCUGGGCCGCUGCAGCGGAGCACACGAACUUAACCACUCGGCCACGGAGCCAGCCCCAUGAAGUUUCUUUUCUUGAUUAUAGCUAUAUCAGAAACUCUCAGUUUAUUGAAGAAGUUAUG